GACGAACGCUGGCGGCGUGCUUAACACAUGCAAGUCGAACGGAAAGGCCCUGCUUUUGUGGGGUGCUCGAGUGGCGAACGGGUGAGUAACACGUGAGUAACCUGCCCUUGACUUUGGGAUAACUUCAGGAAACUGGGGCUAAUACCGGAUAGGAGCUCCUGCUGCAUGGUGGGGGUUGGAAAGUUUCGGCGGUUGGGGAUGGACCCGCGGCUUAUCAGCUUGUUGGUGGGGUAGUGGCUUACCAAGGCUUUGACGGGUAGCCGGCCUGUGAGGGUGACCGGCCACAUUGGGACUGAGAUACGGCCCAGACUCCAACGGGAGGCAGCAGUGGGGAAUAUUGCACAAUGGGCGGAAGCCUGAUGCAGCAACGCCGCGUGCGGGAUGACGGCCUUCGGGUUGUAAACCGCUUUCGCCUGUGACGAAGCGUGAGUGACGGUAAUGGGUAAAGAAGCACCGGCUAACUACGUG
rnacentral:rRNA from 1 species